UUGGUGCCGUGCAGUCGGACACAGCACAUCACCCUUGUUGCCAACACCGAAGCCACACGAGUGUGCGCACUGUUCGUCGGCUUUCCUUCACAAUCCCGGACCACUCACGGGGCGCGCCGCUGCGCUGCCCUUUUUAUCGUCAGCCAAGAGGUAAUAGGAGGAGGCGCUCGACACACUUCUUUUCCAUUUUCAGUUUGUGGUCACUGGCGCGUUUAGCCCGUGCCAGUCGAGCGUCCGCCUUGCCCCACUCCGGGGCAGAGAGCGGGAGUGAGGAAGGGCGAUGACACGAAGCCAUGCUUCGCUUCACGUCGUUUGACCUGGGCCGCUGGAGCUCUCGCGACUUUUUGCGAGGCCGCAGUAAGCGGGCAGGCGCCGUCCAUACCCGUCACACCCACGGCCGGCAAGGCCGCUACAAACGCCUUUCGUCCAUCACCAGCAGCAUUCGUGAUGGCCGUCGGCACGCCUCGAACCACAUGCAGGGAGGUCUGGGCCUGAAGCUGGGCGGCGGCCUCUUCGGGCUGCGCAUUCCCCGGCAGCAUCAGCUGUCCCACAUGUCGAAGGAGGAGUUCGAGUUGGAGGUGCACGGGCACCCAAACAUCACCAACCCGUACCGGGAGCACCUCGACGAGCACCCGGACCUCAAGAGCGUCAUGAUGAACGCCACGGUGGCGCUGAGGCUUGUGGUGCUUCUGCCCAAGGCAGCGCGCCGCCCGGUGCAACGCGAGGGAGGCGAUGUGCAGGUUCCUGAGCAGUGGUCGAGUGUGGUGCGAGAAUUGAAAGCGGCGCUCGGCGCUCUGGCAGCUAGCGCCAGGCAAGCGCUCGGUGUUGUCGAGGUGCAUCUGGCGACGUUGGAGUCCUCCGUCUGCUGUCGCUGCGCACCGAGUGAUGCUGCGUCGACCCCGACCGCCGUCGAUGGGAAGAGAGUGGAGGUAGGACCUGACCUGGAGACUGGCGUGGCUCGACUCUAUCGCGCUCAUUGCUUGUUGAGGAGCCGGCUGAAGCCCACGGCUGAAGCGACGCGACGCCACCGCCGACCUGCCGCUUUCAUGGGGGCCGCACUACGCGCGUCUUCACCGACGUCCUCGUCGACACCGCCAGGAAUGUUUCCUUGGUCUGUGCCCUCGACUUCCUUCACGUCCUCGGUGCUGGCCAGUCUCACGAAGGAUACUGCUGCGCCUUCGCAGAGAGUCCUACACAGGCCAUGCCGCGAAGGUACUCUUAUCGAUGCUUGCCUGCCCUCCUCGGCGACGACGUUGUCUGCACCCGUGACUGCUGAUGCCGCAGGCGCUUCUAAAGGGAAGGGCAUGAUGGAGCUGGUGCGCGAGUGCAGUGCCACCGAGCAGCCCUUGCUGCGUCUGUGUCUGCGUCCUGGCGCGCCUGCGAGCAAAUGGACGCAUCUGGCUGUGCGCAAGGAUCGCUCAGACACGACUGCAGUAGCCGGCCACGCUGCGGUCGCGACGCGGAAGGUCCUCAAGGAGGAUAUCGACCUCAACAGCGAGGUCGGGGUGUGGCGGCUGGCUCGGUCGUCUCUGCCAGAGCUUCUUCGCUGGCACUACUGCGCGCGAGAUCCGCGGGCGCACAACCACGACGCGCUGCCUCAUCACCGCCGCUCGCUGCCCGUCUUGCUCGUGGUGGACUACUCCACAAUCGCCGGGGAUGUAGGCCGCGCGCGGGCGCAAAGUACAGCAUCAUCGAGGCCUGCUGCGACGCUCAUGCCGCGGCAUCUCUCGCUUGAGCUGGAGUCCGCGGGGUUCAAGGUGCUAGCUGAGUCGUCCUUGCUCGACGUCGCCAAGUCUCUAGAGGCGUGGGUGCCGGCGCGGCAGUGGGUGGACUACGUUCAAUCCUGUGCACACGCACAGCCGCGCGGUGCUUGCAGGGCGGCUCCAACCGCACAGGCGGCGACAUCGUGAGAAGAACGCGAGAGAAUCGGUACCAGCCACCUCUCCAGCUGGCUCUAUUUCUAUAGUGCACACAAGCGCCGUCAAGCUAUUGCGCAGACCGCGCGUGAGACGGCAUGCACGCAGGCCUGCACACUCGCUCACGCGCAGCUCACUAAGCAC
rnacentral:misc_RNA from 1 species